UCCGUGUAACCUGAUCCUGGGAGCCAGUUUUUCUUUCACCUUGUCAACCAAGUCGGCGUCGAAUUCCCGCGGGCUCCGUACAAGUGAAACUUGCUGAACACUGCGAACGGUGACAACGUGCUCCCACGAAAUCUGCCGGGACCCGAAGUAUUGGAUUGCGCGUAAGCUGUCCAGAGUUCGUUCGCUGCUGUGUUGGCAGGCCAUCGUCGUGCAACAGAAUCUAACACCAUGCAUAUCUGCAGCGACAGAGCUGCACUGGAAAAACAAGAUCUGCUUUGCCUUCCCCUAUGCACUCGCACUUGCUACUCAGAAUGUGCAUUCCCUGUGACACCUGGAUGGUUGUCUCGCGACGUAAAGCCGGGAAUUAUCAAUUAUCAAGCGACACCCGCUGACGCUGCAUUCCAGCAAAGCGACAACCAGAUCCGCAACUCCGACCAAGCGCAGGCGUGCAGGCAUGCAUUACAAACUCCCGCAGCUCACCACCCUCCAGCAGGCAACACUGCGUCGCCAGCAAAAAACGCGACUGUCUCUUGCCGGAAUUCUCCUCGUUAGCCGAAGGACACAGUGACGGGUGGGUGGUCUAAAACAACCACCUAAAACAGGAGCCAAAAACGAGUUUAGACGAACUCAGCAUGAAGCACCCAAUGGGCUCAUGACGUCCCGUUGGCAUGCUGGGUAUGUCUAUUUUCUUCACUCAAGAAGCUCUGCCUUUUGUUCCGAUUCCUAAUUGGUCUCGAGAGUACAGCGAAAAACAAUGUAUACCGCAGUUGGCCGCGAAAGAACAUGGCACCCCCGCUGGGUCUUGUAACGGAUUGCUGUGUACGCCCGAGCUUGACUGCUACUAAAAUGACCUUUUAAAAUAAUAUGUGCUGCGGAGGGUAGAGCAGCUCUCCGUUUCACUGCGUCGACCACGCGUGUCGUUGUGAUUUACGCUUUCCAAAGUUUCUGAUGCGGAAAAACUCUCUGUUUGCUUGUACUCGCUUUCUUUUGUGGGCGGGGAACGUUGUUCGUUCACUCUAAACAAGCGAGUCUAACAACAAUGUACGAAACGCGUUCGGACGGAGACGAUGU